rnacentral:lncRNA from 1 species
UUUCCAAUCAAUCUCACUAUUCUAAUUUUAUGUUUAAUAAUGAUACUUCUUUAUUCCAAAAAAGAGAUUCUAGCAACCUAAAUAGAGUAACAAAUACAUUAAAAAAAUUUAGCCAAAUUUCAAGGAUAAAAAUUAAUUGGCAUAAAACAAAAAUAAUAUGGACAUUAUAGAGAAUAAAAGAUUUCAAAUGAAAACAGCUACAAGGUCUCACUUGGAUAAGACUAAGAAUAAUAGUACAAUACUUGGGAUUUUCAAUUAGAUUUUAUAUGUCACUAGAGAACAAAAUCAAAAUAAUCUAACAAGUUAUCUUCGAAUUUAUUAAAUGGAGGUCCAAGUAAUUAUCACUUAUAAGAAGAAUUAUGAUUAUGAAUCAAGUAAUCCUAAUCUCUAUAUGAUAUAUAGCCUCAUAUUAUCAAGGACACAAACUAAAAGAAGAUUCAUAAACUUAAAGAAAUUUGUGUCAAAAAAAAAAUCACAAAAUAGAAGAAAGUAUAUAUAUUCAAAAAAAAAUUGGAAUGGCUAUUGCCAAUGACUAGAAAAUAUAAGAUUCUUGAAACUAGACUAAAAAUAAGAAAAGAAUUGAUAAGAGUGAAGAAGGCCUUACUCUUGCCUCUAUAUAUACUGUUUAAUUAAGAACUAUGAGGCGACAUGCUAUAGGACUUCUAAAAUGUGUCCAACUUACAAAACACAUGUCUUAUUUGGAAGGCAAGUUUUCCAAGUGUACACCAUAUGUCAAAUUUAUAAUAUAAGUGGUCAACAUAUUAACACGUGGCCUCCAUGUUGGCUAAGUUUUCAACCUACCAAUCACCUAUAGACAUAUAUAAAGGCAAAGCAACAUCUAUGAAGCUUUUCACAAGAUUUUAUCAUAUUUAUCUACUUUGAUUUACUUCUUCUAUUCUUAUUAUCUAAAUAAUUAUCAGGAUAAAUAUGUAUGUCCGUGACAUUAUCCCCUCUUCUAGCGACCAAUUCCAGAAGGAACGAUGAUUACAUGUUGAUGAAAUUUAAGAUGUAUCAAACUAUAUUUUCCAUGUAUUCUAAUCUUUGAUUCCUUCGAAAGCAGUUAAUAGGUCCCUUCAACCAUCAACAAUGUCUCAUAUUAGGGCGAGAAGAUCAUCCUAAUAUUUGAUCAUUAUUCAGGCAUUCAUAACUUUCUUUAAAUAAAAUAUUGGUAAUACCAUUAAGUGUAGUUCCUACUUCCAAAAGUAUUACUAAACACUAGAAGUCUCUUUCAAGGUUGUGGUACCAAACACAUUGUAUCUUGCCAUCUAUUUGAGGAAGAAUAUGUCAUUCUUGAUGAUCUUCAUUUCGAUUUUAUCAUCUUAAAGAUUGUGAUAGUCACAAUGUCUAAUCUGGUAGCUCAACAAAUGAUAGCUCUUGAAUUGAAUCUGUUGGUUGUUGGUUCUCCAUCUCCUAUGCAUUUUAAAAUCCAAAAGAACAAUAAUACAAGAUAGAAUGAAAUCUCCAUUGGACUUUCUUUGCUUUAUAGCAAAGAAUUUUUUUACUCUUCAUCUUAGUUUUGAUCGAUGUCAUUGAUGAAAAGCUUUAACUUUGGCUAAUGCAUUUUCUAGAUUCUUGGAUAGCUCCCAUAUGUAUUCAUAAAUGUCAUAUCCAUGCCAAUGUACAAGAUAUUCUAAUCUAUUUUGGUGCCACAUUGAAUCUAUGACUUCUUCUGCCUCAAAUUCUUCAUUAUUGUCCUCUUCUAUAGAAGGUGGUGGCAAUUGUCUCCUUCCUUGUAUAUCCAUUGUCUUGUAUGGUUCAAGUAAAGAUAAAUGGAAUACAUGAUGGAUUUUUAUAGACUCUAGUAGAUAUAAUCAAUAAGCAAUAAGAUUGAUCUGUUCAUAAAUGAGAAAUGGUCCAAACCUAUAAUAAUCCAACUUGUCACAAAAACAAACAGUUUUGAUAUUGUGACAGAGUAAUCAUAUCUUAUCCCCUACAUGCAAUUGAUGUUAUUCCUUGCAAUAGACAUUUGCAUUGACUUUAUUUUUGUUCUUGAGCUUCUUUUAAUUGUACCUUCAUUGUUAUAUGUAGCUAUGACAAUCGAUUUACCACAUCUUUUGCCACAAGAUUAUCAACUUUUAAAAAAUCAAAGGUAUCAAAUCAUGGAUGAUAACAAUAAUUGAUAAAAAAAGAUGUUUGUUGAAUAGAAAAAUAUACCAAAUUAUUGUAAGCAAACUUUGCCAAUGGCAAAAGAGUUGUCCAAUCAUCUCAUUGAUAGUUGAUGGUAUACCUCAAAUACUGUUCUAAAACUUGAUUUACCCGUUUUGUUUGUUUAUCAGUUUGAAGGUGGAAAGCCAAAGAUAGUAUUAUAUCCAUCUUCAAUAUCUUCAAAAAAUUUCUCCAAAAUCUUGAUAAAAAUUGAAUUCCUCUAUUUGAUAUAAUCUUCCAUGGUAAUCUAUGAUAGCAAUAGAUAUUGUCAAGGAAGAGUUUAAUGGUUCUUUCAUCUGUGAUAGAUUUUGUAUAUGGUACAAAAUGUGCCAUCUUGGUGAAACAAUCUACAAUCAUGAAUAUGAAAUAAUAUGAAUUUAAAAUUGAAAGAUCCAUGAUAAAAUCCAUAGAGAUAAAAGACCAUGAUUGUUGUGAUAUAGGUAAUAAUUAGAGGAGUCCAUAAAGUUGAUGACAAGGAGUUUUUGAUCUUGAACAAAUAUCAUAUGUCUACACAAAUUCUUUAAUAGCCUUCUACAUUUGAAGCCACCAAAAAUCUCUACAUGUAAGUUCCAAUGUCUUAUUAUAUCCAAAAUAUCUUGUUGUAGAGAAAUUAUAACAUGUUUUAUAGAACAUGUAAUUGUCCUUCUCUAUCAAGGACAAAAACGUGAUAAAGAUAAACAAACAAGUGAGACUUCUCUCAUAGAAAGAUGAGAAAAUAAAAAUAACUUGAUAUAUAUAUAUUAAGAAAGAAACUGGAAUGGCUAUUAUCAAAAGCCAAGAAAAUUAGAGACCCUUGAAACUAGACUGGAAGCAAGAAAGGAGUUGACAAGAGUGAAGAAGGCUUCACUCUUGUCUCUAUAUAUACUAUCUAACUAGGGACUACGUGGCAACAUUCUAUAGGACCUCUAAUAUAUGUUGACUUUGUAGGACACAUGCUUUGACUUACAAGAUAAGUUUUUCUACCUGUGGGCCAUAUAGUUAGCUUGGUCUUCAAGCUAACAACAUGUGUGGUACAUGGCAAACUUGUUGACCAUGUUUUUAAUCCAAAAAUUCAAUUAAAGACACCUAUAAAGUCAAAGCAACAUCUAUGAAGCUUCUAGGAAGCUUCGAUACCAAAUACUAUAAAAUUAACUUAUUUUUAUCUAUUUUUACUUCUAUUUAUUUAUAUAUGUAAUUAUUGGCUUACAUGUAUAUAUCCGUGAUAUUACCUCUUUCUAGGAACGAGUUCCAUGAGGAGCGGUCAUCAUAUGUUGAGGAAAUCUAUGAUGCGACGAAUUAUAUUUGCCACAAACUCUGAUCUUUGUUCUCUAUGAAGAUGAUUGAUAGGGCCUCUAAAUCAUCGGUAGUGUCCCAUACCAGGGCGGGAAGACCACCCAGUUAUUUAAUCAUUGAUGAGGCCUUCAUAACUUCCUUUGAAUAAAAAAUUUAGAACACCAUCAAGAGUUGUUCCUACCUCUAGUAAAAUCACCAAACAUCGGGAGUCUCUUCCAAGGUCGUGAUACCAAAUGAGUUGUAUUUUGCCAUCUAUUCGAAGAAGAACAUGUCGUUCUUGAAGAUCUUCAUCUCAAUUACGUCGUCUUGAAGGUUGUGACAAUCAUAGUGUCUCGUCUAGCAAGUCAGCAAACAAAGGCUCUUGAAUCAAAUUUGCUAGUUGUUGGUUCUCCAUCUCAUGAGCAUCACAACUACAAAGAAGCUACAAACAAGGAUUGAAAGUAGAAUGUUAUCUUGCCUAGAUCUUGUUUUUUUUAUAAAGAAGAUUUUUAUCUUGAUUUUGAUGGAUGUCGUCGAUGAAAAGCCUCCACUGCCUUCACUUCAUUUGUAAGAUUUUUUUAUUGGCUCCCAUGUGUGUUCACUAAUAUCAUAUCCAUGCCAAUGGAAAAGAUAUUCUAAUUUAUUUCGGCGCCACCUUCAAUCUAAGACUUCUUCCAUUUCAAAUUCUUCAUUAUUCUCCACUUCUAUAAGAAGCGGUAGAACUUAUCGUCUUCUUGGUAUGUCCACUAUCUUCUAUGGUUCAAGAAGAGACACGAGGAAUAUUGGAUGGAUUUUCAUUGACUCCGGUGUCGUAUUGAAACAAGUCUAUAUGAUGAAAAUAUAAAUGAAGAAGAUUUAUUAAUAUUUAGUCACCUUGGAUGUUAGAAGCGGUGGCCAAUUCCAGUGCAAAUAUUGAGAGGUCAAGUUCAGUCACUCCAUUAUAGUCAGCCAAGGCAUACUCACCAAUAACAAAAUGCUCCGUUUGAUUCCAGUAACGGGAGUCAGCAGGAAAGGCAAGGACGAAUUCAACGUCAAGUGAACCUAGUUCGGAGAGCCAAUUGGAUCCAAUUUCAGAAGACAUCUAAUCCAGGUCCUAUUAUGGGCCUCUUACUUAGUAUGAGACCUGACUUGGUCGAGCAAUCCAAUGCGGUCCAAUUACGGGGCUUCGAUUUUGUUCAGGCUGUUCUGUUCAUUGUGCCGUUUUGGGAACGUCCUUUUUAUAAAAGAAUCUCUUAAAGGCAAAAAUAGGGGUUAUUUAGGAUUUCUAUAAUAAUUGGGGACCUACCGACAGGGAUAAGAGGAAUAUCAACAAGCGGCCAAGGGACAUUGGUGCGGAUUGCAGCAUAGCCUCACAAUCUGUAAGCGGGGUUGAACUAGAACUUCUUGAGCAUUCGAAAGGACUUGCAGAGACACUAGCGAUAGAUUUUUUACAAUAAGUCGGAAGGACAGAUUGAGGAUCACAACUUGCCAUAGUUCACGGUCUAGGAUUAAGGUAAUUAACAAUAAAGAUAAAAUAAAAAAUAUAAAAUAAAUAAAAUAAAAAUAACAAAAGAGAUUGAAGUUAUAUAGGAUCUCUAGGCAUUUUAUAUUAGAAUUAAGUUUUUACAUUGCAAUCUAAUAUAGAUUGUAUUUGGGUAGUCAAGAACCCGAACGACUGCUUGAGUACUAGCAAAACACCAUACUAGCUCCUACAGCCAGACGCCCGACGCAUUCUCAAGUAAGUUAGCACGAAAUAUGACAUUAGUGGUGAACGCGACGUGAAAGCUUGAGGUAGAAGGUAUUGGAUUUCGUUUGAUUUUAUUUUUAUUUUUAUGGAGAACAAAAAUAAAAAAUUUGAAGGAUCUUUGGGAUGAGUUUCUGGUGGGGGUUCUUCUAAAAGACAAGGUAUGCACAUAGAUCCAUCUAUUGCUAGUAUGUUUCAAGCCUUCUCAUUAUCAAUGUAGCAACAGCAAAGCAAUGAUCGAAAAGAAGCUUUGGCAACCAAAGCAUUGCAAGCAGUGGUCAAUAAAAUUGAUCAAUUUGAUGGAAAGAAUAUUUCAAGGUAUUUAAGAUGUUAUGUUCGUGAAAUGGAAUUAAAUCGGAUUUCUGAGAAGAAAAUGGUUGAAUUAUUUAGACUUGCCACGAUACCGGAGAUAAGAGACCAUAUUACAUUAAUUACGGAUCCUUAUGGGAAUUCAUGGAAAGUUUUUUCACAUGCAUUGAAAGACGAAUAUUUCUUGGAAGAUACUGAUCACGUUACUAAGAAGUCGUUUUUGGAAUGGAUUGAAUGGCCCAAUAAGAAUUUGUAAGCAACAGAGCUACUAAAGAAAUUUGAGAAGCAAUACUCUCAAUUAUCGAAGGUAGAAAAAUUGACAUUGGAGCCGAACAAAGUUGAUCUAUUUCUUCAAGCUGCUGAUGGAGAAUUGCAAGGGAAAUUAGAACUCCUUCUUGAAGACAAAGAAGAAGAUGAAGGAUUGACAACAAAGUGGAAGAACGUUGAAGAUGCAAUGGAGUUGCUUGCAAAAAGAAGAAAGGAGGAAGAAUAGGAGCAAUAUUUCAAAAACAGUACAAGCACUAAAAGCUCCAAUACGUACAACACCACCAACAAUGCCUACAGUUCAACCUUCAACAUCCUUAUCAAAGAAAGCAGAUAUGGAGAUGGAAGAAAUUAUAUGAGGAAUGCGAGAUCUUCAAAUCAAAUUAGCAAGACUUGAAAAGAAUACUUCUACAAAUAAUUUGAAGAAUGUUUCAAAACAAGGAUAUGUACAAAGAUGCAUUUGUUGUGAUGACACUUCACACACUAGAAAAGAUUGCAAUGAAUUUAAUAAUAUGAUACAGCAACGAAUUAUUUGCUAGAAAGAUGGGAAGAUAGCAUUAAAAGAUAGGGAGGAUCUUCUUCAAACUAAUUUUGGCAAAGAAAGAAUGAGAGCAUUAGUUCAAGAUUACUUAAAAGAGCAUGAAACAACAGCAUGAGAAAGUGCAAGUUAUGGUGCUAGAGUAGAUGAUGAAAUUGGUGGAAGUACGAAAACUAGUGAGUUUUAGGCUUCUGCCAUUUCUACAAUACAAGAAGGGAAAUUACCUCGAGAAGCGUUAUUGAGGACUGCAGCUACAAUACGAGGUACAACAGGUUGGGAGGAUCCUGUUGAGUCUCUUUCAGUUCAUGCAUAUAUUGCUAAAAGCCAACAUGAAGCUUUGAUGGAAGAAAAGAGGCGAGGAAAUUUUGAUGAUACAAGAGAAGGAAAUUCUUCUAAGAGGCAAACUCGAGGAGACAAGGCUCGGGAGGUAGCUUCAUAAGAAUUGCCUGUAAAGGAUACCUCAGCAUCAUUGAAAGAAAAAAUAAGGGAGACAAAAGAUAAAGACAAAUCAAUUGCUUAUAAGCUACUUUCUGACAUUGAAGCGGCAACAAAUUUGAAAGGAGUGUUGGAAGAGCAUAUAUUAAACGCUAAGGUAGAAUUCACAUUGAAAGAAGUUUUGAGAAUUGCAAAGAAGGAGUUUCAUGAUGUUAUCAUUAACAGCAUUAAGCGAAAGAGGCAAUUAAUGGACGAAACUGGAAUGAGUCAUGCUAUUGAUACAAGAAUAUAUAAAGAUGAAGAAGAGGUUGAUAUUGGUUACAAGCAACCAACAAAUGAAAAGAAUGGGUAUAAUCAACGAGUAUGUUUUGAAGAUUAUAGAAAUAAGGAAAUAGAAAUUUUGAGCCAUUAUACUUGAAAGCAUUGGACAAAGGCAACUACUGAGGUAUUGGUGAAAGUAGAAGAUAUAGAAGAAGCAAUUGUUGCUUUAGUCGACCGUGGUUCUAAAAUAAAUCUUAUUUCUAAAGAUCUUUAUAAGAAGUAAAAAUGGCCAAUUGAUAUGAAAUAUAGAUGGAUAAUAUGAGCAGCUAAUAAUACACGGGGCAAAUUAUACGGAGCUUGUUCAGAUGUCAAAAUUUGGAUUGGGGAUGUUGCGAUGGAGUAACAUUUCUUUGUUCAAGAUACAACAUCUUAUCCGUUGAUUUUAGGACAACCUUAUAUUAUGGCAAUACGGAUGGAAACAAAAAUACUUGACGAUGGUUCUGCUUAUGGAAGGGUACGUAGCAAAGAUGGGAGGAAAGCUGUAUAAUUUCUAACACUACCUCUUAACCAUGAAUGAAAUCGAGAUAGGUUGAGGGAGAAACCAUUGCCAAAGGUUGUUGAAGGAUUUAAGGCUUUUGGAGAGGUACCACUGUAAAGUGAGAUUAUGGAGGUACAAAAGAGGAGAUACUCUCGCGAGAUGAAGGUGCCUUUGAUGCAAGUUUUAUUGGUAUUUUGGAGAAUGGAAAUAUUAUGUAUAAGAAAGUUGAUGAUUUUAAAAGAAAGGAAAGAAAAAGAUUAUAUAAUAUUGAAGGAGAAUUAUGCAAGUUAGGUACAUUACAAGAUGAUGAGAGGAUUUUAGGUAUUUAUGAAGAAAAUGGACUUGAAGAUUCAUUGGAAUUGAUUACAUCUAUUGGGUUAGGGGAUAAUGAUAAGAUUGUUGAGAUUCAUUCAAGAGAGGUUUAUACCAUACUUAAAUCUUUUCAAGCACUAGAAGUCACUGUAGAGACAAGAUAUAAAAUGACAGAUAAGAAGGUAAAGCCUAUUGCUGGACCAUUACCAUAAGAUUCUAAAGAACAAAUGGGAGAAGCAUCAAAAGAAGUAAGUUUAAGAGAUCCAAUGAGUAUUAGACAUCAGUUUACUAAAGAAAAUUUUGAAGAAUUGAAGAUUGGUUCUGAUGGUUCUUUAUUGUCGGAGGAAAUUACUUGCUUCAAAAAGAUGUUAGCUAAACAAGGUAGACCGUUUGCCUUCGAAUCUUAUGAAAUUGAGUGUGUGGAUCCGAAUAUUAUAAUACCUAUGGUUUUCUUCACUGUAUCGCAUGUACCUUGGAAUCUAAGACCGAUUCCAGUACUGAGGGCACAUUUACCUAAAUUGGUGGAACUAUUAAAAGAAAAGAUGAAGAUGAAAAUAUUAGAAUCUUCAUUCGCGCCGUAUUCUAGUCGAUGGUUUACGGUACCUAAGAAGAAUGGGUCACUACGGUUUAUUCAAGAUAUGCAACCGAUGAAUGCAGUAAUUGUCAGGAAUGCAGGAAUUGGACUUAUUGUGGAUGAAUUUGCUGAGGCAUUUGUAGGAAGGGCGAUCUAUUCAAUGGGUGACUUGUAUUCACGUUAUGAUCAAUUUCAACUUGCCGAAGGAAGUAGAGAUAUGACAACAAUGAGGACACCACUUGGAUUGGUUAGAAUAUGUACUUUUCCUCAAGGCACGACCAACUGAGUUGCGCAUAUGAUGAAUGGGAUGAAUAAGGUAUUGAGAGAUUUUAUUCCGGAGAAGACUAUGCCUUUUUUGGAUGAUGUUCCUAUAAAAAGGUGCAGAGAAGGAGACAAGGAUGAAACUUUAGAUAAGAGGGGGUGUCGCAAAUAUGUUGUUGAUCAUAUACAAGAUUAUGAAAAGAUUUUAACUCGGCUUGGAAAAGUUCAUUUUACAUUAUCGGGUAUGAAGUCCAUAUUUGGAGUACAAGAGGUUGUGAUUGUUGGACAUUUAUGUGGAUCUUAUGGAAGAAAACCAGAUCCGACUAAAGUUGAUGCAAUUGGAAGGAUGAAAGAGGAUUGUGAUUCUUUAAGAGAGGUUCGCAGGUUUUUAGGUGCAUGUGUAUUUUAUUGAAUCUGGAUCCCUCAUUAUGCUCACAUAGUGGAUCCAUUAUAUGAACUGUUAUGCAAGGGCUAUCGAUUUAAACGGGAAGAAAGGCAAAUUCAAGCAAUGCAAAGAUUGAAGAAAUUAUUGAUGUCACCUCCAAUAUUGAGGAAGGUUGAAUAUAAGUGCAAUAGACCAGUAAUUCUUAUUGUGGAAACUAGUCCAAUUGCCAUUGGAUGGACUGUGGGUCAAGAUGAUUCAAGUGGGAAUAGAUUUGCAGUUCAAUUUAGAGCUAAAAUUUUAAGUAUUUGUCAGCGUACAUAUUCGCAAGUCAAAAGAGAACUUUGGAGAGUUGUUUCGGCUAUGAAAGCUGAAAAAGACUAUUUGAUUGGGGCAGUAGUAGUAAUUGAAACACAUUGCUUGCCAUUGCUUAGAAUGAUUACUAACUGUUCAAUGCCAGAUAUUGUAAUGUUGAGAUGGAUUGCUUAUAAUAAGUCACUAUAUCCGAAAUUUAAGCAUGUUACUGGGAAGGACAAUUUAGUAGUAGACAUGCUAUCUUGAGUAAGAUACGAGAGAGAGGACGAAAUGGUUGAAGAUAUUGAUGACAUCAAAUUGAAAUUCUAUUCAAUAUCAAAUCUCAACAGAGAAGACAACCUAUUUCUUGAAGAAUCUUAUGAAGGAAAAUUAUUUGAUAUUGGUCAUUACUUGAAUACUUUGACUGAGUAGGGGAAUUGGUCUACAAAAAAAUAUUUUAACAAAUAAGAAAAAAUACAUAUGGAUUUUUGCUUCGAGAUGGAUUCUUAUGGAAGAGACUAAAAAAAGGAAUUGAGAUGCCACAACGAGUGAUAGGCAAAAAAAGAAGAAAAAUUAACAUUAUUAAAGAAGUUUCAUGAUAGUUUAUGGACACGGCAUAGAGGAAUGUGGGCUACUUUUGCUAAAGUCAAGGAACGAUAUUGGUGGAAAAAUAUGUAUUGAGAUGUGCUCUCAUUUGUAGAGUCAUGUAAAAUCUGUCAAUCGUAUUCUAAUAUCUGACAUCGAGAUGGUCUUCAUCCUACGUAUCCUUUGGCUAUUCAUUUUAAAUGGAUUGUUGAUUUAGUUAUUAUGCCAGUUGGGUUAUGGCAGAUGAGAUAUUUGAUCUUAGCUCGUGAAGAUUUAUCAAAUCAAGUAGAGGAAGAGCAUUGAGGACAAAAUCUAUAGAGGGGAUUUGUAGGUUUUUGCUUGAAGAUGUCAUUUGCUUCUACGGAUGCGUAGGAAAAAUCACUGCAGAUCGUGGAGAAUUAAAUGUAUAAGAAGCUUGUAAGUUGUUUGAAAGAUGUGAAGUUAAACUAUCACUGACUACUGCUUAUAAUCCGGAAGGGAAUGCAAAAAGUAAAUGUGGUCACCUACCGAUUGUGAAAGCAUUGGUUAAAGCUUGUAAUGGAAAAGUUAGAGAGUGGCCACAGCUUUUGUCAUUUGCAUUAUGGGCUGAUCGAACAACACAUAGUUUGGUGACAAGAUAUAUGCCAGUAGAACUUAUGACAAGUCGAAAAUCAAUUAUGUCGAUUGAAGAAAAGGUACUUACUUGGAGUAUGCUACCAUAGAAAGAUGGAUUGACAAGAGAAGAACUUCUGGCUAUUAGGAUUCGACAAUUGGAGCAAAGAUCGGAAGAUGUGCAAAUAGCAUUGGAAAGGUUAAAAAGAGCAAGGUUACAAACAAGGUGCGAUUCGAUAAGCAACAUCGAUUGAGACCUAAAGUAAUUGAAGAAGGUGAUUGGAUACUUAUUUAUGAUAGUAGUCUGGACAACCAAUAUAGCACUUUACGGAAGUUUUUAAAAUGUUGGUUUGGACCAUAUGUCGUAACAACUGUUCAUAAUAAUGCGACUUAUUCAUUGCGGGAGUUAGAUGGUACAAGAUUAAAAAUACCAAUUGUAGGGAAGAGAAAGAAAUUGUUUAAACAAAUUUAUACAGAAAUAAAUAUAGAAGACCUUAAUGAAGACAUAGAUAUUCCGCAGUGGGAAGAUGAAAUUGAUUGGAUAGCAGAGACAAUGAAGAUGGAUUAGACGAAGAUUUGGAGAACAUAUUAUGAAUUAAAUGACAACUAGGUUAAUUGGUGCAUACCAAAGGAUGCACAGGUUCAAAGGAGGUGGAUGUCGUGUUGUAACACGUCUAUAUGAUGAAAAUAUAAAUGAAGAAGAUUUAUUAAUAUUUAGUCACCUUGGAUGUUAGAAGCGGUGACCAAUUUCAGUGCAAAUAUUGAGAGGUCAAGUUCAGUCACUCUGUUACAGUCAACCGGGGCAUACUCACCAAUAACAAAAUGCUCCAUUCGAUUCCAGCAACGGGAGUCAACAAGAAAGAAAAGGACCAAUUCAACAUCCGGUGAGCCUAGUUCAGAGAGCCAAUUGGAUCCAAUUUCAGAAGACAUCUAAUCCAGGUCCUAUUAUGGGCCUCUUACUUAGUAUGAGACCUGACUUGGUCGAGCAAUCCAAUGCGGUCCAAUUACGGGGCUUCGAUUUUGUUCAGGCUGUUCUGUUCAUUGUGCCGUUUCGGGAACGUCCUUUUUAUAAAAGAAUCUCUUAAAGGCAAAAAUAGGGGUUAUUUAGGAUUUCUAUAAUAAUUGGGGACCUACCGACAGGGAUAAGAGGAAUAUCAACAAGCGGCCAAGGGACAUCGAUGCGGAUUGCAGCAUAGCCUCACAAUCUAUAAGCGGAGUUGAACUGAAACUUCUUGAGCAUUCGAAAGGGCUUGCAGAGACACUAGCGAUAGAUGUUUCACAAUAAGUCGGAAGGAUAGAUUGAGGAUCACAGCUUGCCAAAGUUCACGGUCUAGGAUUAAGGUAAUUAACGAUAAAGAUAAAAUAUAAAAUAUAAAAUAAAUAAAAUAAAAUAAAAAUAACAAAAGAGAUUGAAGUUAUAUAGGGUCUCUAGGCAUUUUAUAUUGGAAUUAAGCUUUUACAUUGCAAUCUGAUAUAGAUUAUAUUUGGAUAGUCAAGAACCCGAUAGAUUGCUUGAGUACUAGCGAAACACCAUACUACCUCCUAUAGCCAAACGCCUGGUGCAUUCUCAAGCAAGAUAGCACAUAAUACGACACCGGUAGAUGUAAAUGAUAUGCAACUAGUUUGAUUUGUACAGAAAUAGGAAAUAGUCCAAGCCUUCAAUAGUCCAACUUGUCACAAGGACGAGUAGUCUUGAUAUUACGACGAAGUAGCUAUACCUUAUCACCCAAGUGGAAUGAUGGUUGUUCCUUUUGAUAGACAUCUGCAUUGACCUUUUGUUAUUCUUGAGCUUCUUUUAACUGUGCCUUCAUUGUUGCAUGUAGCUCUGACAAAUAAAUUGCCAAAUCUUUCGUGGUAAGAUCAUUAACUUUUGAAAAGUCAAAAGUAUCAAGUUGUGGAUGGUAACCAUAAUUAGCAAAGAAAGGUGUUUAUUUUCUAGAAGAAUGUACUAUGUUAUUGUAAGUAAAUUCUAUCAAUGGCAAAAGAGUUGUCUAAUCAUCUUAUUGGUAGUUAAUGGUAUAUCUUAAAGAUUGCUCCAAAACUUGAUUAACACGCUCCGUUUGUCUAUUAGUUUGAGGAUGGAAUGUCUAAGAUAGUUUUAUAUCCACUUUUAAAAUCUUGAAAAGAAUCUGCCAAAAUUGUGAUAUAAAUUGAGUUCUCCUAUCUAAUAUAAUAUCCUUGGAUAAUCCAUGAUAGCGAUAGAUAUUGUCAAGAAAGAAUUUAGCUAUUUUUUUACAUGUAAUAGAUUUUGUACAUGGUACAAAAUAUGCCAUCUUAGUAAAACGAUCUACUAUCAUGAAUAUAGACUCAGAAGAACCUGAGAUUGGAAGGUCCAUGAUGAAGUCUAUAGAAACAGAAGACCAUGGUUGUUCUGGAAUGGAUAAUGGCUGAAGAAGUCCGUAAGGUCGAUGAUGAGGAGUUUUUGAUCUUGAGCAAACAUCACAUGAUUGUACAAAAUCUUUGACUGCCUUCUACAUUUGAGGCCACCAAAAAUCCCUAGAUAUUAGCUCCAAAGUCUUAUUGUAUCCAAAAUGUCCUACUGCUAGGAAGUCGUGACGAGCUUGAAGAAUACGUAAAUGUGCUUCUUCUUGUGGAACAUAUAGGCAUCCUUCGAAAUAGAAUAGGUUGUUUUUGAAGUCGAAUUUAGAGGGAUCAUGAGAUGUAGAAGAAUUAUUCUUGAUAUCAUGAAUAAGAGGGUCUGAAGACAUACUUAACUGGACUUGCUUGAGAAAAAUUAAAUCAAUUGUCAAUGUUGAAUUUAUUGCUCAAAGAUGAAAUUGCUUUGGCUUCAAGAGUAUCAUUCUUUAUUAUUCAAAAGUUGCAUCUCCUUCUUUCGGUGCAAGAUAAAAACGUCUAGAAAAGGCAUUGGACAAACCUUGUUGUUUUCUUGACCGAUAAGUGAUGAUGAAUUCGAAUCUUGAUAAAGACAUGCUCCAACAAGCUUCAUGAAGAUUUAAUACGCGUGUUGACAUGAAAUACUCAAGAUUCUUGGGAUUCAUAUACAUGGUGCUUGGAUCAGAAGCGCCUUUUAGAUAAUGAUGCCAUUCUUGAAAAGAAUCCACAUUUGCAAGAAGUUCUUUGUCAUGGAUCUCAUAAUUGAUUCAUGCUGUUGAGAAUUUUCUUGAAUGAAAGGCAAUUGGAUGAAGUUUGUCAUUUGUUCUCAUUUGUGACAAAAUUGCAUCUAGAGCAAAGUCUGAUGCAUCUGUUUCCAUAAAGAAUGCUUUUGAAAAAUCUACACAAUACAAAAUUGGUGCAGAAACAAACGCUAUCUUCAAAGAUUCAAAAGUAACUUUUGCUUCUUGAUUCUAUUCGAGUUUGUCUUUACAAGUCAAACGUGUAAGUGGAGUUGGAACUCGAGAGAAGUCUUUGAUGAAGAUCUGAUAGUAAUUGGCAAAUCUCAAAAAGCAUUGGACAUCUCUUACCAUUUUUGGGAUAUUCCAAUCUAUAAUAGUUUGAACUUUCUUAAGAUCCAUCAAAAGUCCAUCAUUUGAAAUGAUAUAAUCUAAGAAAUUAACUUGAGUAGUGUGGAAUACAUACUUUUCUAUCUUGGCAUAGAGUCCCGCAUCUCUUAAUUUUUGUAACACACGACAAACAUAAAGUUUAUGUUCUUCUAGAUUCUUAGAAUAGAUCAAGUUGUCGUCUAGAUAACAGACCAUAAAAUCGUCCAAAAAUUCUUAAAAAAUAUCAUUCAUUACAUGUUGAAAGCUAUCGAUGCAUUUGUAAGUCCAAAAGACAUGACAUUGUAUUUGAAAUGUCAGUAUCUUGUUCAAAACGUAGUCUUCGAUUCAUCUCCUUCUUUCAUGCGUACUAGAUUGUAUGCUCCUCGAAGAUCUAUUUUUGUAUAGAUCUUAGCUUGAUUCAACUGAUCAAGAAGUCCAGAUAUUAAAGAUAGUAGAUACCUACUCUUGAUGGUAAUCUUGUUGGAUCCUCAAUAAUCAACACACAUCCACAAUGAUCCAUCUUUUUUCUUCAUAAAUAGAAUUGGAGCUCCUGUCGGAGAUUUAGAAUGGCGUAUGAAAUUCUUGGUUAGAUUUUCUUCAAUAUAGUCCUUGAGUUCAAUCAACUCAUUUUGUCAUAAAUUAUAGAUUGGUCCGAAUGGUAGUUGUGCUCGUUCUUGAAGGUCAAUUGAAGCGUGGACUGUAUCCGCAUUCUUUUUUUUUAAUACAUCUUGAAAUUCUUGAUAUUGGCUUGGAUUGCUACUUGAAGUCUUGUCACCAGUAGAAACAGGUGUGGCAUAAAUAAUAUAUGGUGAUUCUUUCAUAGCAGCAUGCAAGAAAGCUUUUGCACCUAUAAACACGGAUUUAAUUGAAUUGGACUUAUGACUCUCUACUUGAUUAACUACACUGGUAGUUAUACUUUUAGAGAAAGUAAGAGUUCGAGAAAUCAAAUCUAUUUGAGGGUUGUAUUUUUCUAAUCACAAUAAACCUAAAAUGACUAGAUUAGAGGAAGAUCUAAUGAUAUUAAAUACUACAAAGCUAUUAUGACCAUUGAUUAUUACUUCUACAGGAAGGAUUUCGUGAAUAAUAUCUCUAGAAGACAAUGGACGACCAUCUAUGUCUUCUAUAUGAACAGGUUUAGUUUUUUUUACUAAAGAUAUGCUAUGUCUUUUAGUAAAUUCUUCAUCUAAGAAACACGCUGAGGCUCUUGAAUUUAACAAGGCAUAGGCUAUAUAAUGUUUAGAUCCUAAAAUAACAUUUAAUGUAAAACAAGAAGACGAUUCUGAGAAGAAAAUAGGACCUUUACUAGAUGUUGUACAAGGUUCUAACCACACGUCCCUAUUGUAGCUAGACUAACUCAUUUUUUGACAUAUUGUCUUCUUUGACAACCAUACUCCUCAUUUUGUGGUUGUGUCAUUUUUUUGGACAAUGUUGAGUAGUGUGUUUAGGUUCUCCACAAUAUAAAUAUAAUCCUUCUUGACGACGACGAGUCUUUUCUUAUUCAGUAAGAGGUUUGAAACAUACUGCAUCAAUUUGCAUAUCCUCUACUUUCGAAUGUAUGUGUUGAAAAGAUAUUGGUGUUGCUAUUGAAUUAUAGUUACGUUGAGGUCUACUUGUAUGGUUUUCAAAUCGAAAUUCAAAAAGGAGACUGUCAUACUUCACAACAAAGUCAAUUGCUUGGCUCAAUGUUUGAGGAUCAAGUAAGUUGAGCAUUAUUUUUUUACCUCAUAUUGUAAUCCAUAGAAAAAUUGCCUAAUAAGUGCAGCAUCAUCCCACUUGAUAUCAGUUACAAGUUGUCAAAAUUGUGAAGGAUACAAUAUUAUUGAUCGAUUGACUUAUUGUAAAAUAUGGAUCUUAUUGGUUGCAACACAAAUUACAUUAUGUUCUCCAUACAUGGAUCAAAAUUCUACUAAAAAAAUCUCUAUAUUAUCCAAUAUUAGAUCUUGUUGUUCAAAAAAAGAUAAAAACCAUGAUAGUGUUGAACCUGAAAGAAGCGUAUCAAUGAAUCUAACUUGCAAUCUUGGAGUUGGAUAGCUUUGGGGUUGAAGUUCAAUCACAAGUUAUACUUGAUUGAUAAAUCCUCGAAACUUGAAUUUCGUGCCAUCAAACUUCUCGGAUAGAGUAAUUCUUGAUUCUCUAACAUUGGAAGGGCGUUCUACCAUAAGAGAAGGGACAUGAUUUGGUGGAAAUGUUGAAGCAGCUCCAAUCAUUUCUAUAUCUUCACUUUCUACUAAUCUUAUUGCUCCUUGUGGUGGUAAAUUGAGUUGAUGCAUCGCAAGCAUUAACUUCUUCAAUUGUUCUUACAUUUGUGCCAUUGCACUCUUUAUUUUAGCAAGUUCUAUCAUGAUAACACUUAGAUAAGAGAAGAUGUCUUAUAUCGCUCAAGACAAAUAGAAGAAAGGACUUAAGAACAAAGAAAAUACUAAGGACAAUAUCAGUUUAGAAGAGGGUAAUCCGUAACUUCUUAUAUGCUUGUGUCUUAUCAAAAAAUAGGGAUAAUCCACUCUUAAUCAAGAUUAGACAAAGCUCUGAUAUUGUAGGUGUACUCUUGUCAAUCUGUCAAGGAUAAGAACAUAAUAAAGACAAAUAAACAAAUGAGACUUAUCUCAUAGAUAGAUGAAAAAAUAGAAAUAACUUGAUAUAUAUAUAUAUAUAUAAAAAGAAAUUGGAAUGGCUAUUGCCAAAAGCCUAGAAAAAUAGAGACCUUUGAAACUAGAUUGGAAGCAAGAAAGGAGUUGAUAAGAGUGAAGAAGGCUUCACUCUUGUCUCUAUAAAUACUAUCUAACUAGGAGCUACGUGGCGACGUUCUAUAGGACCUCCAAUAUGUGUUGACCUUGUAGGAUACAUGCCUUGACUUAUAAGGCAAGUUUUUUUUACCUAUGGGCCACAUAAUUAGCUUGGUCGUCAAACUAAUAACAUGUGUGGCACAUGGCGAACUUAUUGACCACGUUUUUAAUCCAAAAAUUCAAUUAAAGACACCUAUAAAGUCGAAGCAGCAUCUAUAAAGCUUCUAGAAAGCUUCGAUAUCAAAUACUAUAGAAUUAACUUACUUUCAUCUACUUUUACUUACUUCUACUUAUUUAUAUAUGUAAUUACUGGCUUACAUGAGUAUGUCUAUGAUAUUUUCUUUUUAAAACAUAUAAGCAUCGUUUGAAAUAGAAUAGAUUCUGCUUAAAUUCAAACUUGGAAGUAUCUUAAGACUUAGUGGAAUUAUGUUUAAUAUCAUGAAUAAGAAGGUCUAAAGACAUAUUUGCUUGGAUUUGCUUGAGAAAAGUCAAAUCAAUAGUCAAUGUUGAUUUCAUUGCUUAGAGAUGAAACUGUUCUAGCUUUAGUAAAACUAUCUUUUAUUAAUUAAAAGUUUUUUUUUCUUUUGGUAUAAGAUAGGAACGUCUAGAAAGGACAUCAGACAAACCUUAUUUUUUUCGUGGGUGAUAAUUCAAAUCUUGACAAAAACAUGCUCCAACAAGCCUAGCGAUGAUUCAAAGCAUGUAUUAACAUGAAAUACUUGAGUUUCUUGUGAUCCAUAUAUACAAUAACUAGACUUAAAGUACCUUCUAAAUAAUAAUGCCAUUCUUCAAAAGAAUCCACAAUUGUGAGAAGUUCCUUAUCGUGGAUCUCAUAAUUAAUCUUUGCUGCUGAAAAAUUUCUUGAAUGAGUAGAUACUGGAUGAAGUUUGUCAUCUGCUCCUAUUUGUUAUAAGACUGCACCCAAGAGAAAGUGAGAUGCAUCUGUCUCUAUAAAAAGUGCUUUGGAAAAAUUGACACAAUGAAGGAUUGGUGCAGAAGUAAUAGCUUUCUCCAAAGCUUCAAAUGAUGCUUCUACUUCUUUAUUCCACUUAAGCUUAUUUUUACAAAUUAAGUGUGUAAGUGGGAUUGUAACUUGAGAAAAGUUCUUGAUGAAGAUCUGAUAGUAAUUGGCAAAUCCCAAAAAAUAUUAUACAUCUCUUAUUAUUUUUUGAAUCUUCCAGUCUAUGAUUAUGUGAAUUUUUUUAAGAACCAUCAUUAGACCAUUGUUUGAAAUGAUGUAUCCUAAGAAAUCAACUUGAAUAGUGUAGAAUAUAUAAUUUUUCAUCUUGACAUACAAUCUCGCAUCUCUAAGUUUUUGUAAUACAUGACAAACAUAAAUUUUAUAUUUUUUUAUAUUUGUAGAAUAGAUUAAAAUGUCGUAUAAGUAACAAAUAACAAAAUCAUCUAAAAAUUUACAAAAAACAUCAUUCAUAAGAUGUUGAAAAGCAACUGAUGUAUUUGUUAGUCCGAAAGGCAUGACAUUAUAUUUAAAGUGUCCAUAUCUUAUUCAAGAUAUAGUCUUUCAUUCAUCUCCUUCUUUAAUGUGGACCAAAUUAUUUACUACUUGUAGAUCUAUUUUUAUAUAGAUUUUAGCUUGAUUUAAUUGAUCUAAAAGUUAAGAUAUCAAAAAUAGAGAAUAUCUAUUCUAGAUAGUAAUCUUGUUGAAUCUUUCAUAAUCUACACACAUUUGCAAUAAUCUAUUUUUUUUCUUCACAAAUAAGAUAGGAACUCAUGCAUAAGAUUUUAAAUGGCAUAUGAAAUUCUUGGCCAAAUUUUCAUCAAUAUACUUGAGUUCAGCCAACUCAUUUUGUGAUGAACUAUACAUUGGACCAAAUAGCGGCUGAGUUCCUUCUUUAAGAUCGAUUGAACAAUCAUAUGGAUAAUGCUCCAGAAGAAUGUGUACACAAUUCUUUUCAAAAAUAUCUUAAAAAUCUUGAUAUUGACUUGGAAUUUCAUUUGAAAUCUUUCCAUCAUUUAAAAUAGAUGUAGCAUAGAUAAUAAAAGACAAUUCUUUUUUUACAUCAUGCAAAAAAGCUUUUGUACCUACAAGUACAAGUUUGGCUAUACUAGACUCAUGACUUUGUACUAGAUUAGUAAAACUCUUAGUGAUGUUUGAAAAAAAGUCAAAUUUAUGAGAAAUCCAAUCUAUUAUAGGAUUAUAUUUUUCUAGCAGCAAUAAACCUAAAAUAAUUAGAUUAGUGGGAGAUCUAAUUAUAUUAAAAAUUAUGCAACUAUUAUGACCAUUUAUUACUAUAUCUAUAAGAAGUGUUUCAUGAGUAAUAUUUCAAAAAGAUAACAGACGACUAUCUAUGACUUCUAUGUGUAUGGAUUUAGUUUUUUGUAGUAAGUAUAUAUUAUAACUUUUAAGAAAUUCUUCAUCUAAAAAAUAAGCUGAGGCUCCUGAAUCUAUUAAAGUAGAGGCUUUUUAUUAUUAGAUCCUAAAUGCACAUAUAUUCUAAAAUAAAGAAAAGAUUUUGAGAAGAGAAUAAGACCUUUAUUAGGAAUUACACAAGAUUCUAAUUGCACGGUUCCUAUAGUAGCUGGAUAAAUUCGUUUUUCAACAUGUUUUCAUCUUUGACAAUAGUACUCCUCAUUUUGUAGUUGCGUCAUUUCUUUGGACAAUAUUAAGUAUUGUGCUUAGCUUCUCUAUGAUAUAAACAUAGUUCUUCUUCAAGAUAAUGAAUCUUUUCUUGUUUGAUAAGAAGUUUAAAACAUACUACAUCAAUUUGUAUAUUCUCUACUUCCAAAUUUUUAGAUUAAAAAGUCGUUGGUAUCGUCAUUGAAUUAUAAUAACAUUGAGGUUUCUUUGUGUAAUUCUCAAAUUAAAACUCAAAAAGCCGAUUAUCACAUUUCAUAGCAAAGUCAAUUGCAUGACUCAAUGUUUAAGGAUCAAGUAAAUUGAGCAUCAAUUUCUUUACUUCAUAUUAUAAUCCGUAGAAAAAUUAGCUGAUAAGUGCUACAUCAUUCUACUUGAUAUCUAUUGCUUAUUGUUAAAGUUAUGAAGCAUAUAAUGUCACUAAUCGAUUGCCUUAUUGCAAGAUAUAAACCUUAUUGGUUGCAACACGGAUUGCAUCAUGUUUUCCAUACAUAGAUCAAAAUUCUACUAAAAAUGCUUCCAAAUUAUCUAAUAUUAGAUCAUGUCAUUCAAGAAAUGAUGAAAACCAUAAUAAAGUAGAAUCUGAAAGUAGUAUUCUAAUAAACCUGACUUAAGAUCUUUGAAUUAGAUAACUUUGAUGUUGUAGUUCAAUCACCAGUUGUACCUAAUUGAUAAAUCCUCAAAACUUAGAUCUUGUGCCAUCAAACUUCUCAAGCAAUUAAAUUUUUGGUUCCUUGAAACUUGAACAAUGUUCUAUUGUAGGAAUAGUAAUAUGGCUCGGUGUAGAUAUUGAAACAACUCCAAUCAUCUCUAUAUCUUCAAUGCCUGAUAAUCUUGUUGCUCCUUGUGGUGAUAAAUUGAAUUAUUGUAUUGUAAGCAUUAAUUCUUAUAUUUGUUCUUGUAUUUGAGCCAUUGCAUUCUUCAUUUCAACAAGCUCUGCCAUGCUAGUACAAUAAAAAGAAAGGUGUCUAUUCUCACAAAAUAUAAUAUUCAAGAAUCAAAAAAAUAAAAAUUCUAAAAAUAAUAUUAGUUUAAAAGAGGAUAAUCUGUAACUUCUAAUACACUUACGUCUUAUCAAGAAAAAGGAAUAAUCUACUCUUAAUCAAGAAAGAACAAAGCUCUGAUAUUGUAUGUGUACUCUUAUUAAUUUUUUAAAGAUACAAAUUAGAAGAAGAUACAUAAACUUGUAGAAUCUGUAUCAAAUAGAAAGCGACAAAAAAUAAGAAAGUAUGUAUAUUCAAGAAAGAAUUAGAAUGGCUAUUGCCAAAGACUAAAAAAAUAUAAGACUCUUGAAACUAGACUAAAAGUAAGAAAGGAAUUUACAAGAGUGAGGAAGGCCUCAUUCUUCCCUCUAUAUAUACUACUUAACUAAGAAUUAUAUGGCGACAUGCUAUAGGACAUCUAAAGUGCAUCUAACUUACAAAAUACAUGUCUAAUUUGCAAGAUAAGUUUCCCAGGUGUGCACCAUAUAUCCAACUUAUACUAUAAGUGGUCAAUAUGUUGAUGCGUGGCCUCCUUCUUGGCCAAGUUUUCAACCUAUCAAUCACCUAUAGAUAUGUAUGAAAGCAAAGCAAUAUCUAUGAAGCUUUUAGGAAGCUUUUCACAAGAUAUUAUCAUAUUUAUCUACUUUGACUUACUUCUACCUAUUCUUAUUAUCUAGAUAAUUAUCAAGAUAAAUAUGUAUGUCUGUGAUACCUAUGCAUGCAUAAAAUCCAAAAUCUUUAAAUAAAUCAGGAUAUUAGUUUUAAACUACAUAUAGUCUGGCAUUGUCAUAGGGCCUAUAUGUGCUAAACUUUAUUGGGAUACCACAUAGGAAAGGCUAUAAGUUUCUAAUCUUAAAUUACAUACUUAUGAUUUUUUCACAAAACUAAUAGCAAGCAGUAUAGUCCCAAGACAUGAAUCUUAAAAGAUCUUUUUUUAAUACCAAGUUGUAGAAACUUAAUUUUGUAAGGAUGGAGUCUAGUAUCCUAACAAACAUUGCUAAAUGGACUCCAAGAUUACUAUAACCAAGAAAGGCUUCUUUUAAUAGUAUAAUAUAUGCCAAGUAUGGUAAUAUAUUCAAGUUGAUCUAUAACAAAAUGUUCCUUAUUACUUAGAUGAGAUUAUGUGACAAUCAAAUUAUAGCAAUAUUUUAUUAUAAGUAGAAGAUGAUACUACUUAGAAAUAUUAUAUUUCAAAUGGCUAUUACUUAUAGACAAAAAAAAGGUAUAAGAACUUGAAAGAAUCUUGAAGAAACUAUUGCAAAAACUUAGAACAGUUUGAAAAUCCUACACCAUUACAUAUGAAGAUAAAGGACAAACACGUAACUUACAAAAAUUCUAGAUAUUAUGUUGUAGUAUCCAAGAAAAGCUCAACCAUAUUUAACUAUAGAAUAGUAGAAAAUUGAUAUUUAUGAUUCUAUUGUGGAGAUUUUUAAUAUAUUCAAAAUUUAAAAUGUAACAUUAUAAGAAGACAAGUACAUUGUCAAUGCUUCUAAAGAAUUAAGAUAUGCCAACAUAGGUCUAAUUCACCUUGAAGAAAAUAAAGUCCAAUGAGUCCAUAUUAUAUCAUUUAUAGGAGCAAAUGGAGUAUUCAAAGACUAUAAUUUCUUACAAAGUCUGAUACAAGUUAUAUACUUAAGCUUAUGGGUGACAAAUCUAUUUGCCAACUACCAUUGGGCCUAGCAAAUUAGACUUAGAAGAGACAAGGAGUCCUCUCGAGCACCAUACUUUUCAAUUAUACUAUUAAAUGUAUAUAUAAAUACUAGAAUAAAUCCAUUGCAAUAUUAACUAAAAGCAAAAGAAUCAUAUAAGAACACAACUUCAAUAACAGCAAAGAAAAGUAAUUCUACUACGACCUUCAGUAUUUAUGGCUCUCAAAAAAAGUCUCAACUAUACAAUAGUUAAUAUUUGGAUGUAGAAUUCUAAUAGGAGCAUAGCAACAAGUGAUGCAAAAAGACCUUUACUGCUGUCUCUACAAUAAUGAUUCUAUCAAAAUAAUACUAAGUGUAUUUUUAAAGUGUUCUAUGACCACCGCAUUGUAAAAAUAUAAUCAAUUAUGUACCUCAGUCCUACUUUCUCUCCUCAGUAGUUGAAAUGAGGUUCUAUACAAAUUCCUUAUUUUAAAUACACCAUAUACUUUAGAGUUAAUACCCUCUAUUCAAGUUUCAUACAAUACUCAUCAACUAUUACUACAUAGGCUUAUAUUUUGAAAUAUAUGAUGUAAUCAAUGUUCAUAUAACAAAAAAAGAACUCCAUAAUACAUAAGAUUAGUGCUAUAUAAAGUAUGGAAAAUGAUAAUUUAUAUAAAAUUAAAAGUAUGGUGUAAUCUUGAAUAUUAUAAGAAUUUUUUUGAAAUAUAUGUUAUAAAAAAGAAACUAUUCACAGACAUAUGGACUACAAAUGAAGUUUUUGCAAAGAUAGCAACAAAAGAAUUAGCUUGGCAAUUAAUUCCUCUUAUAUUAUUCAUUUUUAAAGAUCUAUUAUGAUAUUACUAUAGCAAUUAGACCACUGCUUGAAAUACAAUAAGAUACCAUGUAUAAUAGCCCUCAAAUUCUUCUAGAGAUAUUCUCCAUUACAGUCUUAGAGAAGAAGCCUUUCUACAUAGCUUUAUACUAAACAAGAAGACACUAUAAUGUGAUUUACAACAACUCUUUGUAGAAAUCAAAAAAGAAUAUACUAGGAUAAUAAUCACAGAUGGACAAAAAAGUAAAGAAACCUCUACCUUAUGUCAACGCCUUUAACAAUAUAUACAUUGAUAUCAAACCAUGAUAAUAUGAAAUUUACAGCUCCACAUUUGUUCAAAAAUGGAAGUCAUAAAUAUGAUAGAUGAUGAUUUAUUUUAAUUAAUUGAUAGUAUUUAUAAAAGUAGGCAAGAGUUUUGGAAGAAGCUUAAAAAUAUGGAUAACCAUGAUAUAGAUAUACACUUACAAGAAAUAAAAUUUGAUAAGGCCUUUACAACUAAAAUCAAUUUUAGUAACAAAAUAGACUAGACUUAAUUUUCUUGACUAGGUUUUAUAGUAAGAAACUCAGAUUGAAAACCAAAGAAUGUAAUACUAUAUUAUUGUAUCAAAUCAUCAUAUCUGCAAGAGUGUAAAUUCAUUUAUAAAGCAAGUACAUAUUUGUUACCUCAUAUGCAAGAGGUAUGGGAAUUGAUACCUCACUUUUCUAUAGCUUCUAUACCUCAAUUAAUUAAAAGGUAGAAUAAAAUUAGGUCAAUUGGUUAGAGAUAGUGCUCUAUAAAAAUUGAAGCAAAAAAUUCACCUUUUAAAAAAUAUAAUCUCUCUUAAAUUUUGAAUUUUCAUUAAUCCUCAUAUUAUAUGAAAUUUUCAAAGUUCCACAUGAGAAAAAAUAAAAACAAACAACAAUACCAAAAAACAUGGGACUCAUCUAAUAAAGAGCUUGAAAAGACACUGACCUCACUAGAGACUCACACCCAAGACUUCAAUCUAGUCCACUCAAACAAACAGGGGACAAAAUCAAAAUAAUCCCACUAGAUAAGAUGAAACUUCUACAACUCUUACAACAGAGAUCCUAAGAGGAAACUAAAUGCAUUGGCAAAUCUCAUCUAUGACUCUAAAUCAAGUCUUUUAAACAAGCAAUAAGAAAAAUUUAAAUAAUAUGGUAAGAAAAAUGACCUACAAUUCUUGCAACUAGAUCAUCCUUGUUUCAAGAAGCAAUAGAUUACAACACAUCCAUAAUUCAAAGAAACUUAUGGAUAGUCCUAAAGAUCCAAGAAAAAUACUUGUCAACUACAAUGAGGCAUAUAAUUCUAAUCUUUGUAUAUAAAAUUCACAAACACGAUAUUGAAAUACUUAUGAGAAAACAAAAAGGAUAUGAAAUUCACCUAUGCACUACUAACAUCUAAUAAAUAGAAGAAGAAAAAUUUUGGUCUACAACAGGGACACAAUUCUAUAUGACAACUAUAAUAAUGCUUGCCUUAUGCAACAAAAUCAUUAACUAUAACAAUGGUCACAAUCCAUUAUAUUAAUAAAACAAUAUCACAUCAAAUGGACAAUAAAAUAACAAAAAAACUUAAUUGAUUUGCCAUCAUUCCAUUUGAUGCAAUAAUAUUAAAGAUCAAAAGAUCCAAUCAUACAUAAUAGAAUUCAAUAGCCUUACAAACCAAGGAAAAUUUUGAAGAUACCUUCUUAUAUCAAAUACAAGCAAUCAAAACUAUAGAAUAAAGAGAAUAGCUAAAAAAAAAAAUAACUCAUAUUGAAAUCUUAGAUAUCAAGUAUAAGAAUUUUUAGUUCAAAUUUUAUAAAUAGAUAAGAAUCAAUCUUAGGUACAGUAUACAAACUUUAAAUAUUAAUAUAAGAAGAGUAGGAGCACAAAGACAAAAUAUAAAUUUACACCAAUAUAAAAAUUGUGGAUCAAAAAUAUUCUAGUUCACGUCCCACAAUUACAUUAGAACUAAUGUAGAAUGCAGCUUAUAAAUUCCAGACAUCAAUUGAUGUAUGAUUCACUUAUAAUCUUCUCAUAUAAUAUCAAGUGCCUAAAAAGAAAAGUGGAUAGUGUACAAAAAUACUGCAAGAUAAAAGAUUUCUUUCUAAACUUACAUUCUAAGCUAGAUAUUAAUGCCUUACAAAAAAAUUAGGUUGACAUAAGAAAAAUACAAAAAAGGACUAAAAAAUUCAACUUCUUAAAAAGCGCCAUCUUUUGGAACAAAGCCUGCUAUUCAACCUACAAAAAUAGCUAUGCAAGUGGUACUGCAAUUAUUACUUUUGAGAGAAUUACCAAUUCUAUUUGCAAACAUGGAAUUAUUAUGAAAGACUACAUAUAAUUCAUGAUUUUUUUCAAUUCAAUUUUAAAAAAAUAAAACUAUUAAAUAUUUAUAGAUAUAACUAUAUAAGUGUAAGAUCCUACUUAUAGCAAAAAAUUGUAAUAUUUUUUUUUUAAAAGCCAAACGGAUCAUAAUGGACGACUUCAACUCUAUCAAAGACAUAUCAAAUAAAUUUGAAGGCAAUCCUACAACUAGCAAAGGCAUAAAAAUAAUAAAAUCUUGAACCAAUAUGUUGAUUCAAUUAGAUCUAUUAGAUAUCUUUUUCAUGGAAGAAUUUUGAUAUAUAAAUAAAAAAAAAUAUACAUAAGAUAAUUGAUGCUCUUAUUCAAACAUGAUAGGUACUAGAAUAGACAAAUCAUAUAUUUCUUCAAAAAUCUUAGAAAGAGGGGAAAUAAUUGGAAUAUAGCUAGUCCAUAUGUCUAUCUUUGAUCACUUACCAAUUUUCCUCAAGAUUAAAUAUAAAGGCCUUUUCUUCCUCCGAUAGUCUUCCUUUGAUAAGAAAUAGCUAAAUAGCAAAGAAGACACGCCUUUACUAAGCCGAACAUAGAAAAAAUCCACACAACAUUAUUCAACUAACACUUAAGCAAGCAAAAUUGUAGCUCCUUUAUUAACAAUUUGUAAAUGUAAUGCAAAUGAAUCAAUAAAAAAAAUAAAAGAAUGGAAGCUCAUCUAUCAGCAACAAAUCAAAAAAAUAUAGGCUACAAAACUCUACCUCUAUGACAAUUGGAACAAUCACGUUAUCUGCAAAACUCUUAGCAUAGUACAAUUGAGAUUAUAUGAAGUCCACUAUACAUGUUGAAUGAAACUUUUUGAUCCAACAAUAGAAAAAUAGAUUUAGCUUGAUGAUAGAUGCAACAUCAAAUUCUUUACAUAUUACAACAAGAAAAGCAAAUAAGGCUACAUUUUUGAAUUCAACUACAAUAGUACAAUCCUAAUGCAGCAAAUAAAUAUAGCUUCAUUUGCAUAAUAAUACCAUUAAGCGAUCUACAGUAGAGAUUCAAUUGUUAGGAAUAAUAAGACAACUCAAGAAGAUUUCCUUAUGAGCAUUCUAAAAUGAGUUAAGUCAAGCCGUAAUGAAGAACUAGAGAAAUAAAUCAUACUACUAGAGUUUACAGUAGCUGCUUUGGAGAUUUCAACAAGAAAAAUUUUAAGAUUGUACAUUAUACCAACUGAGUUUUUUUUAACUUUGUUGGCCAUCAAUCCAAGGAGAUAUGCUCAACUUCACUUGUAAAGUAAUGACCAAUAGAGUAUUAUUGCAAGAAUUGAAUAUCAAUAGUAUAAUCCUUAUUUUGAAACUUAAAGAAUUAACAUUAAUAAAAAAUUUAUGUCUUAUCUCCCUUCUAAGCACAAUCUAUAAGAUUAUAGCCAAAAUGUAUGUAAAUUGAAUACUUUGAUAUCUUUCACAUUGGAUUUAAUAAUUAUAAAUGAAAUUUGUAGUUGAUUGAUGUAUCUUCAAUAACAUAUAUCUAACGCUUAAAUCAAUAGAAUGAGCAAAAGAAAACAAAUAAGAACUUGUACUCAUACUACUAAAUUUUAAAAAAGCUUUUGAUUGGAUUAACUAGAGAUUUUUAGAAGCAACCUUCACCAAAAUCGUAUUCUCUAACUCUUCAAUAAGUAUGGUCAUGGCUUUUAAUAGAGAAGCCCUAGCCAUUGUGAAAGAAAAUUUUAUUGCUCAAUUUAAAUUAUAAGAUGGCAUCAAUUAAGAUAGCUUGUAAUUGGUGGUAUAAAGUGGAAGUAGAAAGAAUAAGAACAAAAGAUGCACAACACAAAAUAAGUAAAAGAAGUGCAAUCAAGCAAUUGUACACUACAAAACUAAUCAUAUUUUAUUUAUUAGAUUUUUACUUAAUAAAAAAUAAAAAUAAAAAAUAAAAAAUAUAUUUUUUAAUAGAUAAUAUUUUUAUCUUUCUAAUGGUUUAAGAUUCAUAUAAAUUUGAGUUACUAUGAAUAAAUUAUGAAGGUUUAAAAAUAAUAAAUAAAUAAAUAAAUAUUAAGUAAAUGAUUUUUAUCUCAAGCAUAAUUUAUUUAAGAGAUCAAGAGUUUGAGCCUCACCAAGGCUCACAAGUAGUGUAUAUGGAUAUCUAAGAGAGGUCACGAGGCUUUAGUAUUAUCCUCCUAACUACCUUCAAGGCACUACAAUCCAUAUGGAACUUAUGCACAUCCUUUCUUAUAAAGACUACACUUGUUUCUUGCUUCUUGCUUCUGGUCCUCCUGUUUUCUACUAAUAAAACUAAUAUUUUACAUUUUUGAAUUCACCAUGGUAUUUAAAAAUAUUCAAUUAUCCUAAGAAACUUUUAUGGCUUUCAAAUCUUAUUCCUUUUCUUUUUAAUGGCUUCCAAAGUAGUAAAAUUCAUUUUUAUCAAAGUCUUGAAAAUUAUUCUAAAAAUUUCUAAAUAAAUUCUAAAUAAAUUAUAAAAAUUCUUAUAAUAUUUUUAUAAUAUUAAUAUAAAUUUAAAUCUAUAUUUUAUUACUUUUAUUAUUUUUUAUAGUAAUAAAUUCAAUUUUAAUCUAUUAUAAAUUCUACUUUCUAUAUAACUAAAUAAAAAGACAUGAGAUUCUAUUUCAUUCUUUUUCUAAUUACUAACUAAAAUUUAUAGUUUUUAUUAUAAGAAAUAUAUAUAGAUAAAAGGCCAAUAUAAAUAUUCAUCUUAAUAAAUAAUCUUUAAUACUUAAUAAUAAGUAAAAAUACUCAAUCAACUAAGAUGAUGGCCUUCAAGACUUACUAAGAUUCUAUUUCUAUAAUUAACAUUUAAAUUUUCUAUUUUUCUAACAAUUUCUAUACUACUCACUAUAUAUUAUUAUUUUAAGUACUUUAAAUACAUCUUUUUGUCUUAAAAUAAUUAAUAAACUGAUUUAUUGACCUACAUCUAUUAUCACAAUUAAUAGACAAAAUAAACACAUAUUUAAAAUAAAGAGAUUAAUUCACUAGAGAUGCCCCUUGGCACCAUAUUUCUUCUUAUUUGUAGUAAAUGUCCUUGAAUAUAUGCUAGACAAUCUCAAAUAGUAAGUACAAGAACUCACACUAUCAAAUAACUUAUCUUUAAGCAAUCAAAUAUUUGCAAAUGAUAUUGUAUUCUUCCUAAAAAGAACUGCUAAAAAUCUCUCAAGAGCAAUGAGAGCUCUAAUAUGAUUCUAUGAAGCCUCUAGAGCAAGGAUUAUUUGGCACAAAAUAUAUACAAUACAGGCAUUCGAACAUGAACAAAGUUGAAAUUCAGAAGAAGAUCUAAACCUAAUAUAGAAAAUAAUAGGUCAACCUACUAAGUAUCUUGUCUUUUCUAUAGGUUAUUGAUUAUCAACCAAAGAACAAAGAAAUAAAGUAGUACAAUAAAUUAUUAAGCAAUUGGUGAAGUAGAGACUCAAAAAGCUAUUCUUAAUUAAAAAAUUACCAGCAAUCAAUCAGAUAAUACUAUCUUUCAUGUAAUAUCUAAUAUCAUAUUUUAGUAUAGAAACUUAGAUCUUCACCUAGAUCUAUACUAUGAUCAAAAAUUAUUUAUAGAGUGGGAUAAUAAGUGGCAAAGGAAGAAUUAAGGUAAAAUGGGAUAUGAUAAUCCAAUCAACUACAUAAGAAGGACUUAAGAUAAUUGACUUUGUCACAUAAGCUAAGACACUCUUAGCAAAAUUGAUUGCUUAAGGCCUUACUUUUAAUCAAGAAUCAUAGAAAAUUAUUGUGAGACACAGAAUAAAAGCAACUAAAUUCAAAAAAAAUGAAUAGUGAUAUCCUAACUAAUAUUAGUUGAUAAAAAAGAGCUUACAAGUGCAUCCACAAGGAUCCAACUUGUGAAGAAGUGCGAAAGUGGCAUGGAGCAACAUACAACACAAGUUAAUUCUUGAAACAAGUUUGGAUUCUUUAAGAUCUAAAAUCUUACCAACUCCAUAAUAUAAAUGAUUUUGACACAACAUAAGACUAUGCACACUAGAACAAAAUUGAAAGUAACUAAACUGAAUACAAACACGAAAGUAAAAACUAAGUUAAAAAUAAUAUAAUCAAAUAGAACCAAGUAAAAUGAAACAAAAAAAAAACAACCAAACUUUACUAAAAAAAAGAAUCUAAAUCCAUAUCUGACCAAAUGUCCAAAUGGCCUAAGUAAGUCUUAUUUAUACUUUGUUCAACUAUCUUAGAACUUUCUAAAAUAUUUCUAAUAAUGGACUCUACCAAGAUAACCAUCAUUUAAGAAGAUUUUAGAUGUGGAUUCUACAAUGAUAACUAUCCUAAGCCUUUUUAGAAGGUUUUAUGGUGGAUCUUACAUGAACCACCAUUCAAACCUCAAUUCUAGAAACUUCUCAAAAAUAACUCCAACUAUAUAUUUCUAUGUGCAAAUAAUACAAAUAUCCUAUCUAUACCAUGUUACACUUAAUUUCCCUCUACUAAUGUGAAACAUCUUUAAUUUGCUUCCAAUAAUAUUUUUAAAUGGUUUCUUAACAAUGAAUGAGGUCUUAUAUAUGUUUUCAUAUUGUAUUAUAGAUAGAAUCACCUUUAUAAAGAACUUUGUGAUGAAGUUACAAAUGUCCAUUGCCACGGUGAAGGUAGUAGUGUUCUAAAAUACUGCCUCCUUCAUACUCUUAUUGGUCAUCAAUCACAAUUGGUAGUGGUGGUGAUGGAUGUUGGUGUCCAUCCAAAAAGUGCCUUAAUUCAAUAUAAAACUCCUUAAGCUACAGAAUAUGGAAGAUUGGAUCAAUCCAAAUCUAAAGCAAAAACUCAAUGCAGUAUGCAAUAUCAAAAAUUACUGCAAAAAUGUGGAAAGGUCUAAGCUAUUGAAGUGCUAGCUUAUAGACUUGAGUUGAUGUAGCAAGUGAAAGAUUGGCAUUGGAGAAUAAUACUUGGUUACCCUCUCGGAAGGUCUUAUGUUGCUAAUGGUUGUCUGCACAUUCUUUUUGUCAAUUCAAUGCAAUAAAAAGAUAAUGUUGUAUUUUCUAUAAAGCCAUUAUAAGCCAAUAUAUAAAUUCCUCCAUAGUCAAAUUUUUUUAGUAUUAAUAGGACAAUAAAGAGUUAUUGGCAUAAUUGGAUAUAAAUCAAUAUUAAAGAGGAAUGGUGAAUGAUUAGUACUUGUUUGAAUAUUAUUAUUGUAGGCAAACCAUAAGGGCGUUAAAUAUUCAUUCUAGACAUUAUGAUGAACCGCUAUAAAUACUCAUAGCAUAUCUUCUAUAAUUUGAUUUGUAUGCUCUAUUUGUCCAUCUAUUUGAUGAUAGAAUAUCAUAGACAUGGCUAAUCAUGUGCCUAGUAGCUUAGAUAAGGUCUACCAAAAACUCUCCGUGAAGUGGGAACUUCAUCUAAAAUAAUGAUAUGAUGUAAUCUAUGGUGACAAAAGACAAUGUUGAAGAAGAUUCAUAGAAGUGCUAGGACAUCAAUAUCAAAUCAUACUACAAUCAAGGAAAAUUGCUUCAAGAGUUGGUACAUAUAGAUAGGAACUGCAGUAUGAUUGUAAAAUAUUUGCAGCAAAUAAGUAAUGAGAUCCAUAAUUACUUGAUCCCAACAUGCAAUAAGUAGUAGAAUUGGUUGUAAUAGCUCAAAAAAUAUUGUGUUGCAUACUAUGUUAUGUUAGCAUAAUUCACAAGAACAUAUAAAAGUUCAAACAUUAUAAUCCAAACCUAUCUAAAAUCAUGUCCUUGAGAUCCAUUCUAGAUUCUUCUUUCAUCUUAUGUGUCUAAAUAUUGGAAUGUUGUAUCUUUCUUGAAGUAUGCAUGUUUGAAGUAUAACAUCGUCAAGUACAUAAAUCCACUUCUUGAAAUAGAGCAAGCCAUCAUUGAGACAAUAAUCUCGAUAUUAGACAUUACGUACCUUCAAUUGAUUGAUAACCAUCUUAAAAUAAGUAUUGCUAUACAUAACUUUCUUCUAUUUUACUGUCCUUGUUAAGUCUAAAAUGACACUACUAAUAGUAGCGACUUCUGUCUUAUCAUUUGAUUUAAAUUUUAAGUCAAAUUUACAUGAUAAAGUGUUCAACAUAAUAUAUUAUUUUCCUUCUUUGUAUUUAAGUUGUAUGUCAAAGAAUUAUUGUAAGCACAAUUAAUAGCUCCAAUGAUUGGUUAUAAUCACUUUUGUGAUUUUUAACAUAUUUUUAUUAAUUUUAAUGCUAAUACGAUUAACUUAUAGAUCCAAAUUAGUUUUUUUAGUUAAUUAUGAUUUUAUUUUAUUUUUAGAUAGAUACUUCUAAUUAUUAGAUUGAGUGAUUGUUUAAAAUUCUAAAAAUAGUAACUUUAGAAGAUCUAUGAUUUUUUUUUAAAAUUCUCUUUUAGUAUUAAAAUUAAAAUUUUAUUAGAAUUUCUCUACAAAUUUUUAGAAAUUAUAUCUUGAAUUAAUCCACAAUCUUAGUUUUCAACCUCAAGGCUAAUUCCUAAUUUGACUAUGGUUAGAAAAUCUCUUAAGUCUAAUUGCUCUAUCUUCUGUCAAGAACAUGAAGUGAAAGAAGAUGCAUAAACUUGAGAAAUCUAAGUCAAAAAAAAAUGACAAAAUAGCAUUAAAGUAGUAUGUAUAUUAAAAAUAAACUAGAAUUGCUAUUACCAAAAGACAAGAAAAUUAGAAGCUCUUAAAUCUAGACAAGAAGCAAGAAAAGAAUUGACAAGAAAGAAGAAGGCUUCACUCUUGCCUCAAUAUAUACUAUCUAACUAGAAGCUAUGUGGUAAUGUUCUAUAUGACCUCUAAUAUGUGUUGACUUUGCAGGACACAUGCUUUAGCUUACAAGGCAAGUUUUCUAUGUAUGGGCUACAUAAUUAGCUUGUUCAUCAAGACACCAACAUGUGUAGUACAUGGCAAACUUGUUGACCACGUUUUUAAUCUAAAAAGUCAAUUAUAGACACCUAUAAAGUCUAUAAAGCUUCUAGAAAGUUUCUAUAGAAGAUAUUAUGGAAUUAACCUAUUGUUAUCUAUUUUUAUUUAAUCAUAUAGAUAAUUAUUGGUUUACAUGUAUUUGUCCAUGAUAUCUUCGUAUUUAAUUCUAAGAUUUUUUUUAAGCUUAAAUUUCAUGCCAUAAUUUAAAAUGAAUUAAAAAUAUAAAGUUUAAUUGUUAAAUUAAUGAUGAUUUCUAGAGAAUAGAGGUGAACUAAUUAUUUUAGUGGAAUUCCUCUUUUAGUGAUUAUAAUCACUAUUUGGAGUUGAAAAAAAAAAAAAACAAAAAAAAAAAAAAAAAAAAAUCACAAGUGUAUUGAUUCAAGGCAAAAUUACAAUUGGAUCUUAGAUUUACUAAGAGUUUAUAUUUAAAGAAGUUUAAAUUGAAGAAUAGUAAUCACAAUGGCUUUGAUGCUAAAAAUCCUUACUGAUCUCCAAAAAUACUGAUUAAAAUUAGAAUUAUAAUUAAAACUUACAACUAAAUUAAUAAAUUAAUUGAUUUUUAUGAUUUAGAAUUUGGAUUUGGGCUUAAGAAUAGUCAACUUCAGAAUAUAAAUAUGCUUUAGAAACAAUGGUGGUGCUAGUUUUGCCAAAAAGAUAUUAUUUUUUGAAUUAUAGGUAUUUCCAACCUUAAGAUCGGGUUUAGGUUUAGAAUGAUUAAAGACCCUUGAUCUUGGUUAGAAUGAUUCAAAAUUAAUAAAUCUAAUUUGGAUGGUAUAGAUGUAGCCACCACCCUUGGACUUGCUUCUACCUAAUUAAGAGGGCUUGGGUGGCCAAGCUCCCUCUCUCUCUUCUCCCUUUUAUAAGGCAAAGCUCUGCCAAAUAGUUUUUAGGCUUUUAAUUGAAGGAAUUUUCUCCUACCUUGUCAUUGCCUCGAUAUUUUUUUCUUCAAUCACUCAUUCUUUUAUUCUUUUGAGCAAUAUUUGGCACUCAUAUUUUUCUAGCUAAUAACUCUUUUUAGCACCUAAUCUGCUAUAUUAGUUCUUAUUUUUUUAUUAUCAUUAAUUAAUAUUAUUUAAUAAUUUUUAAGAAAUUUUCUCUUAUUCCAAUAAUUAAUGGUAAAGUUUUAUCUCUUCAUCCAUCUUUAUCUUUAAAUGAUAAAAAAAAAUAAAAAUUAAUCUUAUAUUUUUAUUUUCAUCUUUUAUUUUUAAACUUAAUUUAUAAAUUUACUUUUUACCUUUAAAUUUUUAUUAUGUUUAUUUUAAAUUCUUCACUCAAUUUUUAGUUAUUAAUUCUAACUUAAUUUUUUUUUUAAUUUAUAUUCAUAAUUUUCAGAAUUUAAGCUUGAUUAAAUAAUUCUUAGAAGGUAAUUAAUUAAUUAGAUCAUAAUGUUUAAGAAAUCAUAAAAAUUAUAUACUUUAUAUAUUAUAUUUGGUUGGAUUAAUUGUGAUUAUUAUACUAUUUUUUAUUUUAUUUUAUGGUUUAUGUGACCACAUUGGUUAAUAUUGAAUUUUGAUCUAAGUUAUAAUUGAAUCAAAUUGAACUUAACUAAAGGGGAAAAAAAAACCACUUAUAAUUGCAAUUACUCUUUUCAACAAUGAUGUCGUAUUUCAUAUUUUAUUUGAUUUCAUAUUCUCUAAAUAAAAUUUGUAUAGCAAGAAUUGGUAGUCAAUUCAAAUAGUCAUUGGCUUCCUCAAUAAAUAGUAUCACCACAUCUUUGUUCCAUAUACAAUUGCUAGUUGCUCUCCAUUACAUGCAAAAUAAUUGCACUCUGUCCUUCUGAGCUUGGAUAAUUCAUAUGCCACAAGUUGAAGGCUCCUAUCAAAGCCUUAUUGAAGAACCGUGUCAUUAGCAAAGUUAGAAGCAUCAAUAUUAAGUGUACAUAGAAGAUUGGGAUCAUAUAGUUGCAAUAUUAGAACAAUAAUCAAUGCCUCCAUCAACUCCUCAAAGGCCCUUUUUUGUUCCAAUUUCUAGUAAAAUGGAGCACCUUUUUUUAAUAAACUUAUCAAUAAGGCAGCAAUGUAUGCAAAUUACCAAACAAAAUGACAAUAAUAUUCAGCAAGGCUUAAGAAUGAGCGGACUUCAAAACAUCUUUGGAAGUUGGCCAAUCUUUCAUUCCUUUCACCUUGUCUUGCUCUAUAUGCAUACCUUCAAAGGACACUACAUGCACCAAAAAGGUGACCUCUAACUUCUAAAGUUCACACUUUGAUUCCUUACAAUAAAAGUGACUAUUAAUAGCUAGCACAACACUGUCUAUAGAUGUUACUCAUGCUCCUUAGGAGGUUUUACUAUAGACCAUGAUAUCAUCAAUUAAAACAACCACAUAUUCAUCCAAAAGGUUCUAAAAUAAUCUAUUCAUGUGAUCCUUAAAAGAUGUUGAAGCAUUAGUGAGGCCAAAAAGUAAUACAAGCCACUUAAAAUAUCCAUACCAUAUACAAAAUGCCAUCUUUUUAUAUCCUCUUUGAUAAUAGGGAUCUGCUAAUAAUCACUUUGAAGGUCCAAUUUACUAAAGAUAGUUGUACCUUGAAGUUGAUCAAAAAGAUUAUCCACACUUGGAAGUGGAUAUGCAUUCUUGACAAUCUACUUAUUAAGGCCUUGAUAAUCAAUACAAAGUCAAAAUCCACCAUCUUUUUUAGGUGUAAAGAGUACACAUGCUCUCCAUAGCGACGAACUUUUUCAAAUGAGGCCCUUCUCUAAGAAUUCAUCUAAUGACUUUUGUAACUCUUUAAGUUUAAUUGGUGCUAAGCAAUAAAUUGGCCGACUUGUUGGUUUGGCCCCAAGCAUUAAUUCCAUUUCAAAAAGGGCACCUUGAUCAGGUUGCAUGCCACUAGAUAAAUCAAUUGGAAAGACAUUUUAAUAUUUAUGUAUGAGUUGUUCUAUCUUUUGGCUAUCUUUUCCACCAUUGAAGCAAGAUUCAAAACCAUUAUAUAUACAAGUUGCUUAUGUCAUAUUUGCUUCUUUAUAAAGGUCAUUCUUACAAAUAAGCCUUAGCUACAAAUUGUUUUGCUAUCCCAGACAAUACAUAGGCAUAAAGAAUCACCAUGUGUCCUCCAUCUUUGAAAGAAAUUGUCCUUCCUAGUUAAUCAACUUAUUUAUUUUUUAUUUUUAGCCAUGGCAUAUCAAAAAUAAUAUCAUAUCUAAGCUUUGAUACUCUGAACUUCUCCACCAAGGCAUAAGUAUCACUCAACCUUAGGGCUUCUUCUUCACUUCUCUUAUUUAAUAUGUUUUUUUGGUCAUUUGCUUAAUAUACAUUCUCUCCUUUGAUCACCUUUGUUUCAAUCCCAAGUCGGUUGGCAAUUGUCAUCAAGAUGUAAUUAUUUGUAGAACCGCAAUCCACAAGCUCAACAUGGCUAUCUUCUUAGUCGACUUCUUAGACACACUAGUCAACCUUUUUGAUAGUUGUUCGAGGCUAUGCCAUUUGUCUGUGAGAAAUAUCAACUAUUCCUAAUACUGGCCUUUGAUGCCUUUAUCGGGGAGCCCUGUUUUCUUGCUCUUUUUCUUCAUCAACCUAGUGACCUUCAUGAUUGUGAGCUCAUCAUGAUUUGUUGGUGCUUGAAUUUUGACAUUUUGGACAAUCUCUGAUUUGAUGGCUUGACUCAAUAGUAAAAGCACAAAGAUGAAAUCCUUUGUGAAUUGAUAUGUAAAACCUUAGAAUAGUAGAUGUUGAGCUAAAAAUGUUAGGUCAAGAUACAACUAAUCAAUUUAUUCAAUGGUCAAGAAAAGAUAUAUACUUGCUUUUGGACAUAUGGAAUGAUUAUAGACAUGAUUGAUACACAACUACUUGGCUUCAACAGAGAAUGGAAAGCCAAUGUAAGCAUCUCCAACAUUAUCAAUUCUAGGGCUGCAUCCCCUAAAAUCCAAACUCAACACUUCUCUACUCUUCAUGGAAUUGAUAGAUGCCCUACAUCAGAAACUCUAUAAUAGAAUUAUUUCAAAUUCUUGAAAUAGAAGAAGGUAUACUUCUAGUAAUCAAAUAUAUUGUCCUUCUUUCAGAAAAACUAGAACAGGUAUACUAAGGGCAACUAUAGAUUGGCACCACUCCAAAGGAUUUGCAUAGCUAUCAAAAAUAAACAUCAAGAAGUCAUUGGAUUCAAACUCAUCAGCCCAGUCUGCUGGCUCCAAACACCUUAGCUAGCUGGAAAGUGCCCAAUACAACCCCUCAUGUUCGACCCAGCAGAAUGGAAAUGGCAGCGGCAAAAUCACUACAAAACAAGCUUUAAAUACAACUACACAUUGCAACAAGGCUACCAACUUGGCAUCACCGGAAGGAUGGCUCCUCUCAAAGGCGAGCGCAUACUUAGACAACACAACUUUGAUGAUACACAAUGCCAACAAUUCUACAAGAAGCUUUGGCAUCCUUGGCUCUCCAGAAAAUUUGCAGCCAUGUAUUGGCUCAAUCUCGUGGAAGGUCUCUCAAUGGGCCACUGAUGAAGGAUAAUGCAACUAGAUCCCUCUUGUAAACUGUGCAACCUAGGAGAAAGCAAAACCAUUCAGCAUGCCUUCUGAGACUGUCCGGUCAUUCACCUUACUUGGUCACAAUACAAUACACUACGCCAAAAGGCCUCUUGAAGCACUACAAGACUGGAUGGAGACGCUCUACGAUAAACUGGGUCCCACAACCUUAGCAAAUGAGAAAUCACUCACCGCAACCAUCCGCGUCUAAAAAUGAAACUCCAUGGUUCCUAUUUUGACAGAGACCGGGAACCGUUUCAUAUCGGCCAAGUUCUCUAUAAUAUCCUUAUCAUAAUGUCUUAGGGUUUCAUUAGAGAGUCAGUCGCUUUAGCAUCCAGAGAAGCAUACAAAUGGAACAGCAUCGUCAAGGCAACAAACUACCAAGUGAACAAAGGAUCGCAGCCCAACAACUGCAAUGGAAUAUAGUGAAUAGUCAGAAGGCCAAAAUCACUUCACACAACUCAAACAGACAUGUGGCAUUGUUGCACUCCAGGCCCUCGAGGCCCCACCAACGGUGUAGAACCCGAAACAUGCGUGACAUACGCGUGAGUUGUACGACACUUUGUACGUUUAACCGCGGUGCAAACUAAGGCUCAUGUGACUGAAACGCCCGUUCAGUAAGUGGGAGGUCCUGAGUUAAACCCGCAGCGAGAGCAGCGACCGUUCUUUUGUCCGUUGCAAGGAGAGUAUCACUCACACUCCAUCACCUCCACGCACCGCAAUUCCCUUUUUUUGCGUGCUUUCCGCUGCUUGUCGAGGUGUUGAUUGGAAAACCCACUUGGGAUCGAACAUUUUCAGGAAAAUUUCUUGUGUUGAUUUUGUACUUCUGUGAACAGUAGAGGGUAUGCAUGACUGCCAGCAUUUGUUCUCAGGUUCUUAGGCUUUUCAACGAGUUUCCAGUUAUUUGUAUUUUUCAUGAUUCAUGAAGACCUGUGGGUAGUCGUCAGAGUUAUGGAGUGGUAGAAGCUGUGGAGGGAAUUCAAUACUCGUCAACUACAUCUGCGAUGUAACACAGUUUUAGAUUCCGAGAGCCAUAACCUGUUCAUUUAGCUCCCGUGUGUAGAGCGGUAACCCCAGAGACUUAUAAAAAUCAUUCGACGAAAACACCGUCGAGAAUCGAAGAGGUGGCUGCUGCUUUCUAAGUGCAAUUGCGAGACUUACCACCUAACUGUGUUUGAAAUUCUGUUUCCGCUUCGACACAACCCAAGAAAAGCGAAUCUACCUAUCCGAAUUGUGAAUUGCUUGAGAAUGUCUCCUGUUAUCAUACACAUGGUAAGAGGGAUUGUUGCUAAAGUCGUGAAUAUUGAAGUACACAGAGGGUGCGUUCAGUCAUGGGCGAGAGAGCCUUCUUCGAUCAUUAAUCUCGAACCCACCAUAAAGACUACCAGCUAGGCAACAGAAAAGAAUUCGUCAAAACAAGAGGUGGACAAGACCAGCAAAAGCAGCAAGAACCGCGAGAGACGAACAGCGGGCAGCGGAGCACGUGUGAGGUGAAGGCGAAAGAAAAGCAUGGAAAGGAGAAAUGCAACCCAAAAUGUGAAACAAAGUGAACAGAGAUGUCGGUGGUGGAAAUCAGGAACUUGGUAAAGUCACGGAGCGAGACCCUGCUACAGCUAAAAAGACAGAAUCCAACAAGGAAACUAUAAAAAGAUAUCAUCACAUCGAAAGUAUCGCAGUCUGAUACAGCUCGCAAAAAUUGCCAAAAACGGCCAAUAAAACCCGUUGGCCCCGUCAUUCUUUCCUCAUUGACG